AAUUUUCAGCGAUGGAUGUCUUGGCUCUCGCAUCGAUGAAGAACCAGCGAA
rnacentral:rRNA from 1 species